CAUUACUAGAGCAAAGGAUAGACAGCGCCCGCGGAGCUCGCUCCCGGGGCUACCCUACUCCCGUAGGGUUUAGAGUCGUCGGGCCUCUCGGAGAAGCUCGGUCCUGAACUCCACCCUUGAAUAAACUACCUUUGUUGCUUUGGCGGGCCGCCUCGUGCCAGCGGCUUCGGCUGUUGAGUGCCCGCCAGAGGACCCCAACUCUUGUUUUUAGUGAUGUCUGAGUACUAUAUAAUAGUUAAAACUUUCAACAACGGAUCUCUUGGUUCUGGCAUCGAUGAAGAACGCAGCGAAAUGCGAUAAGUAAUGUGAAUUGCAGAAUUCAGUGAAUCAUCGAAUCUUUGAACGCACAUUGCGCCCUCUGGUAUUCCGGGGGGCAUGCCUGUUCGAGCGUCAUUAUAACCACUCAAGCUCUCGCUUGGUAUUGGGGUUCGCGGUUUCGCGGCCCCUAAAAUCAGUGGCGGUGCCUGUCGGCUCUACGCGUAGUAAUACUCCUCGCGAUUGAGUCCGGUAGGUCUACUUGCCAGCAACCCCUAAUUUUUUUAAGGUUGACCUCGGAUCAGGUAGGGAUACCCGCUGAACUUAAGCAUAUCAAUAG
rnacentral:rRNA from 1 species